rnacentral:sRNA from 1 species
GCCGGGCGUGGUGGCGCGUGCCUGUAAUCCCAGUUACUCGGGAGGCUGAGGCAGGAACAUCGCUUGAACCCAGGAGGUGGAGGCUGCAGUGAGCCAAGAUCGUGCCACUGCACUCCAGCCUGGGUGACCGAGCGAGUCUCAGUCUCAA